UACGUAGGUGGCAAGCGUUGUCCGGAAUUAUUGGGCGUAAAGCGCACGUAGGCGGUUCUUUAAGUCAGGGGUGAAAUCCCGAGGCUCAACCUCGGAACUGCCUUUGAUACUGGGGAUAUCGAGUCCGGGAGAGGUGAGUGGAACUGCGAGUGUAGAGGUGAAAUUCGUAGAUAUUGGGAAGAACACCGGUGGCGAAGGCGGCCAUCUGGACCGGUUCUGACGCUGAGGCGCGAAAGCGUGGGGAGCAAACAGG
rnacentral:rRNA from 1 species